rnacentral:tRNA from 1 species
CGGAGCGUAGCGCAGCCUGGUAGCGCACCUGCUUCGGGGAGCAGGGGGUCGGAGGUUCGAAUCCUCUCGCUCCGACCA